AUUCACCUGAGUACACAACACCAACACAGAGAAAAAAAAAAUUCAUAUUACUAGAACAUAUUGGUAUUGAAGGAACUAGAUACUGUUCCGAAAUAUCACUUACUCGAACCGUCCUGACCGCGUAGCUCAGUUGGAAGAGCAUUGGGCUGGUAUUCCAAAGGUCGUAGGUUCGAAUCCCACCGUGGCCGGGCAUAUUUUUCAAGCUCGCCCGGUGUGGAUAUACACUCAGAGUAACACCACAAAUAUCAUAUUCACCUGAGUACACUACACCAACACAGAAAAAAAUUCAUAUUAAUAGAAUACAUUGGUAUCGAAGGAACUAGAUCCUGUUCCGAAAUAUCACUUACUCGAGCCGUCCUGACCGCGUAGCUCAGUUGGAAGAGCAUUGGGCUAGUAUUCCAAAGGUCGUAGGUUCGAAUCCCACCGUGGCCGGGCAUAUUUUUCAAGCUCGCCCGGUGUGGAUAUGCACUCAGAGUAACAUCGCAAACAUAUUAUUCACCUGAGUACACAACACCAACACAGAGAAAAAAAAAUUCAUAUUACUAGAAGAUAUUGGUAUUGAAGGAACCAGAUACUGUUCCGAAAUAUCACUUACUCGAACCGUCCUCACUGCAUAGCUCAGUUGGAAGAGCAUUGGGCUAGUAUUCCAAAGGUCGUAGGUUCGAAUCCUACCGUGGCCGGGCAUAUUUUUCAAGGUCGCCCGGUGUGGAUAUGCACUCAGAGUAACAGUGCAAACAUAUUAUUCACCUGAGUACACAACACCAACACAGAAAAAAAAAAUUCAUAUUACUAGAACAUAUUGGUAUUGAAGGAACUAGAUACUGUUCCGAAAUAUCACUUACUCGAACCGACCUGACCGCAUAGCUCAGUUGGAAGAGCAUUGGGCUAGUAUUCCAAAGAUCGUAGGUUCGAAUCCCACCGUGGCCGGGCAUAUUUUCAAGCUCGCCCGGUGUGGAUAUGCACUCAGAGUAACAUGGCAAACAUAUUAUUCACCUGAGUACACAACACCAACAAAGAGAAAAAAAAAAUUCAUAUUACUAGAAGAUAUUGGUAUUGAAGGAACCAGAUACUGUUCCGAAAUAUCACUUACUCGAACUGUCCUGACUGCGUAGCUCAGUUGGAAGAGCAUUGGGCUAGUAUUCCAAAGGUCGUAGGUUCGAAUCCUACCGUGGCCGGGCAUAUUUUUGAAGGUCGCCCGGUGUGGAUAUGCACUCAGAGUAACAUCGCAAACAUAUUAUUCACCUGAGUACAGAACACCAACACAGAAAAAAAAAAUUCAUAUUACCAGAACAUAUUGGUAUUGAAGGAACUAGAUACUGUUCCGAAAUAUCACUUACUCGAACCAUGCUGACCGCGUAGCUCAGUUGGAAGAGCAUUGGGCUAGUAUUCCAAAGGUCGUAGGUUCGAAUCCCACCGUGGCCGGGCAUAUUUUUCAAGCUCGCCCGGUGUUGAUAUGCACCCAGAGUAACAUCGCAAACAUAUUAUUCACCUGAGUAGACAACACCAACACAGGAAAAAAAAAUUCAUAUUAGUAGAACAUAUUGGUAUUGAAGGAACUAGAUACUGUUCCGAAAUAUCAUUUACUCGAACCGUCCUGACCGCGUAGCUCAGUUGGAAGAGCAUUGGGCCAGUAUUCCAAAGGUCGUAGGUUCGAAUCCUACCGUGGCCGGGCAUAUUUUUCAAGCUCGCCCGGUGUGGAUAUGCACUCAGAGUAACAUGGCAAACAUAUUAUUCACCUGAGUACACAACACCAACACAGAGAAAAAAAAAAUUCAUAUUACUAGAACAUAUUGGUAUUGAAGGAACCAGAUACUGUUCCGAAAUAUCACUUACUCGAACCGUCCUGACCGCGUAGCUCAGUUGGAAGAGCAUUGGGCUAGUAUUCCAAAGGUCGUAGGUUCGAAUCCCACCGUGGCCGGGCAUAUUUUUCAAGCUCGCCCGGUGUGGAUAUGCACUCAGAGUAACAUCGCAAACAUAUUAUUCACCUGAGUACACAACACCAACACAGAGAAGAAAAAAUUCAUAUUACUAGAACAUAUUGGUAUUGAAGGAACCAGAUACUGUUCCGAAAUAUCACUUACUCGAACCGUCCUCACCGCGUAGCUCAGUUCGAAGAGCAUUGGGCUAGUAUUCCAAAGGUCGUAGGUUCGAAUCCCACCGUGGCCGGGCAUAUUUUCAAGCUCACCCGGUGUGGAUAUGCACUCAGAGUAACAUGGCAAACAUAUUAUUGACCUGAGUACACAACACCAACACAGAGAAAAAAAAAAUUCAUAUUACUAGAAGAUAUUGGUAUUGAAGGAACCAGAUACUGUUCCGAAAUAUCACUUACUCGAACCGUCCUGACUGCGUAGCUCAGUUGGAAGAGCAUUGGGCUAGUAUUCCAAAGGUCGUAGGUUCGAAUCCUACCGUGGCCGGGCAUAUUUUUCAAGGUCGCCCGGUGUGGAUAUGCACUCAGAGUAACAGCGCAAACAUAUUAUUCACCUGAGUACACAACAGCAACACAGAAAAAAAAAAUUCAUAUUACUAGAACAUAUUGGUAUUGAAGGAACUAGACACUGUUCCGAAAUAUCACUUACUCGAACCGUCCUGACCGCAUAGCUCAGUUGGAAGAGCAUUGGGCUAGUAUUCCAAAGGUCGUAGGUUCGAAUCCUACCGUGGCCGGGCAUAUUUUUGAAGGUCGCCCGGUGUGGAUAUGCACUCAGAGUAACAUCGCAAACAUAUUAUUCACCUGAGUACAGAACACCAACACAGAAAAAAAAAUUCAUAUUAGUAGAACAUAUUGGUAUUGAAGGAACUAGAUACUGUUCCGAAAUAUCACUUACUCGAACCAUGCUGACCGCGUAGCUCAGUUGGAAGAGCAUUGCGCUAGUAUUCCAAAGGUCGUAGGUUCGAAUCCCACCGUGGCCUGGCAUAUUUUUCAAGCUCGCCCGGUGUGGAUAUGCACCCAGAGUAACAUCGCAAACAUAUUAUUCACCUGAGUAGACAACACCAACACAGGAAAAAAAAAUUCAUAUUACUAGAACAUAUUGGUAUUGAAGGAACCAGAUACUGUUCCGAAAUAUCACUUACUCAAACCGUCCUGACCGCGUAGCUCAGUUCGAAGAGCAUUGGGCUAGUAUUCCAAAGGUCGUAGGUUCGAAUCCCACCGUGGCCGGGCAUAUUUUUCAAGCUCGCCCGGUGUGGAUAUGCACUCAGAGUAACAUCGCAAACAUAUUAUUCACCUGAGUACACAACACCAACACAGAGAAAAAAAAUUCAUAUUACUAGAACAUAUUGGUAUUGAAGGAACUAGAUACUGUUCCGAAAUAUCACUUACUCGAACAGUCCUCACCGCGUAGCUCAGUUGGAAGAGCAUUGGGCUAGUAUUCCCAAGGUCGUAGGUUCGAAUCCCACCGUGGCCGGGCAUAUUUUUCAAGCUUGCCCGGUGUGGAUAUGCACUCAGAGUAACAUGGCAAAAAUAUUAUUCACCUGAGUACACAACACCAACACAGAGAAAAAAAAAAUUCAUAUUACUAGAACAUAUUGGUAUUGAAGGAACCAGAUACUGUUCCGAAAUAUCACUUACUCAAACCGUCCUGACCGCGUAGCUCAGUUGGAAGAGCAUUGGGCUAGUAUUCCAAAGGUCGUAGGUUCGAAUCCCACCGUGGCCGGGCAUAUUUUCAAGUUCGCCCGGUGUGGAUAUGCACUCAGAGUAACAUGGCAAACAUAUUAUUCACCUGAGUACACAACACCAACACCGAGAAAAAAAAAUUCAUAUUACUAGAACAUAUUGGUAUUGAAGGAACUAGAUACUGUUCCGAAAUAUCACUUACUUGAACCGUCCUGACUGCGUAGCUCAGUUGGAAGAGCAUUGGGCUAGUAUUCCAAAGGUAGUAGGUUCGAAUCCUACCGUGGCCGAGCAUGUUUUUCAAGCUCUCCCGGUGUGGAUAUGCACUCAGAUAACAUGGCAAACAUAUUAUUCACCUGAGUACAGAACACCAACACAGAGAAGAAAAAAAUUCAUAUUACUAGAACAUAUUGGUAUUGAAGGAACUAGAUACUGUGCCGAAAUAUCACUUACUCGAACCGUCCUGACCGCGUAGCUAAGUUGGAAGAGCAUUGGGCUAGUAUUCCAAAGGUCGUAGGUUCGAAUCCUACCGUGGCCGGGCAUAUUUUUCAAGCUCGCCCAGUGUGGAUAUGCACUCAGAGUAACAUCGCAAACAUAUUAUUCACCUGAGUACAGAACACCAACACAGAAAAAAAAAAUUCAUAUUACUAGAACAUAUUGGUAUUGAAGGAACUAGAUACUGUUCCGAAAUAUCACUUACUCGAACCAUGCUGACCGCGUAGCUCAGUUGGAAGAGCAUUGGGCUAGUAUUCCAAAGGUCGUAGGUUCGAAUCCCACCGUGGCCGGGCAUAUUUUUCAAGCUCGCCCGGUGUUGAUAUGCACCCAGAGUAACAUCGCAAACAUAUUAUUCACCUGAGUAGACAACACCAACACAGGAAAAAAAAAUUCAUAUUAGUAGAACAUAUUGGUAUUGAAGGAACUAGAUACUGUUCCGAAAUAUCAUUUACUCGAACCGUCCUGACCGCGUAGCUCAGUUGGAAGAGCAUUGGGCCAGUAUUCCAAAGGUCGUAGGUUCGAAUCCUACCGUGGCCGGGCAUAUUUUUCAAGCUCGCCCGGUGUGGAUAUGCACUCAGAGUAACAUCACAAACAUAUUAUUCACCUGAGUACACUACACCAACACAGAAAAAAUUCAUAUUACUAGAAAACAUUGGUAUUGAAGGAACUGGAUUCUGUUCCGAAAUAUCACUUACUCGAACCGUCCUGACCGCGUAGCUCAGUUGGAAGAGCAUUGGGCUAGUAUUCCAAAGGUCGUAGGUUCGAAUCCCACCGUGGCCGGGCAUAUUUUUCAAGCUCGCCCGGUGUGGAUAUGCACUCAGAGUAACAUCGCAAAAAUAUUAUUCACCUGAGUACACAACACCAACACAGAAAAAAAUUCAUAUUGCUAGAACACAUUGGUAUUGAAGGAACUAGAUACUGUUCCGAAAUAUCACUUACUCGAACCGUCCUGACCGCAUAGCUCAGUUGGAAGAGCAUUGGGCUAGUAUUCCAAAGAUCGUAGGUUCGAAUCCCACCGUGGCCGGGCAUAUUUUCAAGCUCGCCCGGUGGGGAUAUGCACUCAGAGUAACAUGGCAAACAUAUUAUUCACCUGAGUACACAACACCAACACAGAGAAAAAAAAAAUUCAUAUUACUAGAAGAUAUUGGUAUUGAAGGAACCAGAUACUGUUCAGAAAUAUCACUUACUCGAACCGUCCCGACUGCGUAGCUCAGUUGGAAGAGCAUUGGGCUAGUAUUCCAAAGGUCGUAGGUUCGAAUCCUACCGUGGCCGGGCAUAUUUUUCAAGCUCGCCCAGUGUGGAUAUGCACUCAGAGUAACAUCGCAAACAUAUUAUUCACCUGAGUACACAACACCAACACAGAAAAAAAAAAAUCAUAUUACUAGAACAUAGUGGUAUUGAAGGAACUAGAUACUGUUCCGAAAUAUCACUUACUCGAACCGUCCUGACCGCACAGCUCAGUUGGAAGAGCAUUGGGCUAGUAUUCCAAAGGUCGUAGGUUCGAAUCCCACCGUGGCCGGCCAUAUUUUUCAAGCUCGCCCGGUGUGGAUAUGCACUCAGAGUAACACCGCAAACAUAUUAUUCACCUGAGUACACAACACCAACACAGGAAAAAAAAUUCAUAUUACUAGA